GUCUGGUCAAAGGGCAUUCCUUCUUGCUGAGGGCUUUGCAGCAAAAGGGUGGAACCAAGCUGGGGAAGAGACAGAGAUGUUGAGAAGCUGUGCCAAGUCCAUGGUGAAUCUUUCCCUCUUGUAUUGUUCAGGGAUUCAAAUCAUCACUGAAGGUAAAAGCCCUCACAGACAUGAGGACACCAAAGUCCUUCAGAGCAUGGCCAUAGGAAAUGCUCGUCACCAUUUCAACAGCUCUAAAACUGGAUGUUGCAGGUGUCUCACACUGACAGCUGCAAUUUUACUGAUGCUGUGCAGCACAGGAUAUCCACUCUCAUUACGUUUCAAGACACAGGAAAUGCAACUCAGUAUCUGA
rnacentral:lncRNA from 1 species